rnacentral:rRNA from 1 species
AAAUUGAAGAGUUUGAUCAUGGCUCAGAUUGAACGCUGGCGGCAGGCCUAACACAUGCAAGUCGAACGGUAACAGGAAACAGCUUGCUGUUUCGCUGACGAGUGGCGGACGGGUGAGUAAUGUCUGGGAAACUGCCUGAUGGAGGGGGAUAACUACUGGAAACGGUAGCUAAUACCGCAUAACGUCGCAAGACCAAAGAGGGGGACCUUCGGGCCUCUUGCCAUCGGAUGUGCCCAGAUGGGAUUAGCUAGUAGGUGGGGUAACGGCUCACCUAGGCGACGAUCCCUAGCUGGUCUGAGAGGAUGACCAGCCACACUGGAACUGAGACACGGUCCAGACUCCUACGGGAGGCAGCAGUGGGGAAUAUUGCACAAUGGGCGCAAGCCUGAUGCAGCCAUGCCGCGUGUAUGAAGAAGGCCUUCGGGUUGUAAAGUACUUUCAGCGGGGAGGAAGGGAGUAAAGUUAAUACCUUUGCUCAUUGACGUUACCCGCAGAAGAAGCACCGGCUAACUCCGUGCCAGCAGCCGCGGUAAUACGGAGGGUGCAAGCGUUAAUCGGAAUUACUGGGCGUAAAGCGCACGCAGGCGGUUUGUUAAGUCAGAUGUGAAAUCCCCGGGCUCAACCUGGGAACUGCAUCUGAUACUGGCAAGCUUGAGUCUCGUAGAGGGGGGUAGAAUUCCAGGUGUAGCGGUGAAAUGCGUAGAGAUCUGGAGGAAUACCGGUGGCGAAGGCGGCCCCCUGGACGAAGACUGACGCUCAGGUGCGAAAGCGUGGGGAGCAAACAGGAUUAGAUACCCUGGUAGUCCACGCCGUAAACGAUGUCGACUUGGAGGUUGUGCCCUUGAGGCGUGGCUUCCGGAGCUAACGCGUUAAGUCGACCGCCUGGGGAGUACGGCCGCAAGGUUAAAACUCAAAUGAAUUGACGGGGGCCCGCACAAGCGGUGGAGCAUGUGGUUUAAUUCGAUGCAACGCGAAGAACCUUACCUGGUCUUGACAUCCACGGAAGUUUUCAGAGAUGAGAAUGUGCCUUCGGGAACCGUGAGACAGGUGCUGCAUGGCUGUCGUCAGCUCGUGUUGUGAAAUGUUGGGUUAAGUCCCGCAACGAGCGCAACCC